UACGUAGGGGGCAAGCGUUGUCCGGAAUCAUUGGGCGUAAAGAGCGCGUAGGCGGCCCUGUAAGUCCGCUGUGAAAGUCAAGGGCUCAACCCUUGAAUGCCGGUGGAUACUGCAGGGCUAGAGUCCGGAAGAGGCGAGUGGAAUUCCUGGUGUGGCGGUGAAAUGCGCAGAUAUCAGGAGGAACACCGGUGGCGAAGGCGGGUCUCUGGGCAACUACUGACGCUGAGGAGCGAAAGCGUGGGGAGCGAACAGG
rnacentral:rRNA from 1 species